CCUACGGGAGGCAGCAGUGGGGAAUAUUGGACAAUGGGCGCAAGCCUGAUCCAGCCAUACCGCGUGGGUGAAGAAGGCCUUCGGGUUGUAAAGCCCUUUUGUUGGGAAAGAAAUCCAGCCCGGCUAAUACCUGGUUGGGAUGACGGUACCCAAAGAAUAAGCACCGGCUAACUUCGUGCCAGCAGCCGCGGUAAUACGAAGGGUGCAAGCGUUACUCGGAAUUACUGGGCGUAAAGCGUGCGUAGGUGGUUAUUUAAGUCCGUUGUGAAAGCCCUGGGCUCAACCUGGGAACUGCAGUGGAUACUGGAUGACUAGAAUGUGGUAGAGGGUAGCGGAAUUCCUGGUGUAGCAGUGAAAUGCGUAGAGAUCAGGAGGAACAUCCAUGGCGAAGGCAGCUACCUGGACCAACAUUGACACUGAGGCACGAAAGCGUGGGGAGCAAACAGGAUUAGAUACCCUGGUAGUCCACGCCCUAAACGAUGCGAACUGGAUGUUGGGUGCAAUUUGGCACGCAGUAUCGAAGCUAACGCGUUAAGUUCGCCGCCUGGGGAGUACGGUCGCAAGACUGAAACUCAAAUGAAUUGACGGGG
rnacentral:rRNA from 1 species